rnacentral:tRNA from 4 species
GCUAAUUUGGCAGAUUUAAGUGCUUUAGAUUUAGAAUUUAAUUAUGUAUUUUUACAGUUAGUA